rnacentral:rRNA from 1 species
GAAUUCGAUUAACGCGAAGAACCUUACCCAGGCUUGAACUGCAGAUGACAUCCUACGAAAGUAGGCUCCCGAAAGGGCAUCUGUAGAGGUGCUGCAUGGCUGUCGUCAGCUCGUGUCGUGAGAUGUUGGGUUAAGUCCCGCAACGAGCGCAACCCUUGUCUUCUGUUGCCAUCGGGUCAUGCCGGGCACUCUGAAGAGACUGCCGGUGACAAACCGGAGGAAGGUGGGGAUGACGUCAAGUCAGCAUGGCCUUUAUGUCUGGGGCCACACACGUGCUACAAUGGCCGGUACAAACCGUCGCGAUCCCGCGAGGGGGAGCUAAUCGGAGAAAGCCGGUCUCAGUUCGGAUUGCAGGCUGCAACUCGCCUGCAUGAAGCUGGAAUCGCUAGUAAUCGCGGAUCAGCACGCCGCGGUGAAUACGUUCCCGGGCCUUGUCACACCGAAUCACUA